CCUACGGGUGGCAGCAGUAGGGAAUUUUCGUCAAUGGGCGCAAGCCUGAACGAGCAAUGCCGCGUGAACGAGGAAGGUCUUCGGAUCGUAAAGUUCUGUUGAAGGGGAAAAAGAGCGGAGAGAGGAAAUGAACUCCGAUUGAUAUUACCCUUCGAGGAAGUCCCGGCUAACUACGUGCCAGCAGCCGCGAUAAUACGUGGGUGGCGGGCGUUAUCCGGAAUGAUUGGGCGUAAAGGGUGCGUAGGCGGCCUGCUAAGUCUGGAGUGAAAGGUACCGGCUCAACCGGUAUAGGCUCUGGAAACUGGCGGGCUAGAGAGCAGGAGAGGGCGGUGGAACUCCAUGUGUAGCGGUAAAAUGCGCAGAUAUAUGGAAGAACACCAGUGGCGAAGGCGGCCGCCUGGCCUGUUGCUGACGCUGAGGCACGAAAGCGUGGGGAGCAAAUAGGAUUAGAUACCCCUGUAGUC
rnacentral:rRNA from 1 species